rnacentral:rRNA from 1 species
GACGAACGCUGGCGGCGUGCCUAAUACAUGCAAGUAGGACGCAGUUGCGAACGGGUGAGUAACGCGUAGGUGACUAGCUAACAGAGGGGGAUAACUAUUGGAAACGAUAGCUAAUACCGCAUACUAGUAGAUGGACCUGCGUUGUAUUAGCUAGUAGGUAGGGUAAUGGCCUCCCUAGGCAACGAUACAUAGCCGACUUUGGAUGGUGGUCGGGCACACUGGGACUUGGACACGGCCCCGACUCCUACGGGAGGCAGCCGUAGGGAAUCUUCGGCAAUGGGGGGAAACCUUACCCAGCCACGCCGCGUGAGUUAAGAAGGUUGUCCGAUCUUAAAGCUCUGUUGUUAAGGAAGCGGUACUUAACCAGAAAGGGACGGCUAACUACGUGCCAGCAGCCGCGGUAAUAC